rnacentral:tRNA from 1 species
AUAACAGUAGUAUAAAAAGUAUUUUUGUUUUCCAAACAAAAGGUUCUGUUUGGAUUGUUAUA